rnacentral:rRNA from 1 species
UACGUAGGGUGCGAGCGUUAAUCGGAAUUACUGGGCGUAAAGCGUGCGCAGGCGGUUUGUAAGUCUGUCGUGAAAGCCCCGGGCUCAACCUGGGAAUUGCGAUGGAGACUGCAAGGCUUGAAUCUGGCAGAGGGGGUAGAAUUCCACGUGUAGCAGUGAAAUGCGUAGAGAUGUGGAGGAACACCGAUGGCGAAGGCAGCCCCCUGGGUCAAGAUUGACGCUCAUGCACGAAAGCGUGGGAGCAAACAGG